GACGAACGCUGGCCUUUUGCUUAACACAUGCAAGUCGAACGGAAAGGCCCUGCUUUUGUGGGGUGCUCGAGUGGCGAACGGGUGAGUAACACGUGAGUAACCUGCCCUUGACUUUGGGAUAACUUCAGGAAACUGGGGCUAAUACCGGAUAGGAGCUCCUGCUGCAUGGUGGGGGUUGGAAAGUUUCGGCGGUUGGGGAUGGACUCGCGGCUUAUCAGCUUGUUGGUGGGGUAGUGGCUUACCAAGGCUUUGACGGGUAGCCGGCCUGAGAGGGUGACCGGCCACAUUGGGACUGAGAUACGGCCCAGACUCCUACGGGAGGCAGCAGUGGGGAAUAUUGCACAAUGGGCGGAAGCCUGAUGCAGCAACGCCGCGUGCGGGAUGACGGCCUUCGGGUUGUAAACCGCUUUCGCCUGUGACGAAGCGUGAGUGACGGUAAUGGGUAAAGAAGCACCGGCUAACUACGUGCCAGCAGCCGCGGUGAUACGUAGGGUGCGAGCGUUGUCCGGAUUUAUUGGGCGUAAAGGGCUCGUAGGUGGUUGAUCGCGUCGGAAGUGUAAUCUUGGGGCUUAACCCUGAGCGUGCUUUCGAUACGGGUUGACUUGAGGAAGGUAGGGGAGAAUGGAAUUCCUGGUGGAGCGGUGGAAUGCGCAGAUAUCAGGAGGAACACCAGUGGCGAAGGCGGUUCUCUGGGCCUUUCCUGACGCUGAGGAGCGAAAGCGUGGGGAGCGAACAGGCUUAGAUACCCUGGUAGUCCACGCUGUAAACGGUGGGUACUAGGUGUGGGGUCCAUUCCACGGGUUCCGUGCCGUAGCUAACGCUUUAAGUACCCCGCCUGGGGAGUACGGCCGCAAGGCUAAAACUCAAAGGAAUUGACGGGGCCCCGCACAAGCGGCGGAGCAUGCGGAUUAAUUCGAUGCAACGCGUAGAACCUUACCUGGGUUUGACAUGGAUCGGGAGUGCUCAGAGAUGGGUGUGCCUCUUUUGGGGUCGGUUCACAGGUGGUGCAUGGCUGUCGUCAGCUCGUGUCGUGAGAUGUUGGGUUAAGUCCCGCAACGAGCGCAACCCUUGUUCACUGUUGCCAGCACGUUAUGGUGGGGACUCAGUGGAGACCGCCGGGGUCAACUCGGAGGAAGGUGGGGAUGACGUCAAGUCAUCAUGCCCCUUAUGUCCAGGGCUUCACGCAUGCUACAAUGGCUGGUACAGAGAGUGGCGAGCCUGUGAGGGUGAGCGAAUCUCGGAAAGCCGGUCUCAGUUCGGAUUGGGGUCUGCAACUCGACCUCAUGAAGUCGGAGUCGCUAGUAAUCGCAGAUCAGCAACGCUGCGGUGAAUACGUUCCCGGG
rnacentral:rRNA from 1 species